CAGUAGCCCAACGGAUUAGAGCAUCUGACUACGGAUCAGAAGGUUGCAGGUUCGAAUCCUGUCUGGC
rnacentral:tRNA from 3 species